UACGUAGGUGGCAAGCGUUGUCCGGAAUUAUUGGGCGUAAAGCGCGCGCAGGCGGUUAUGUAAGUCUGAUGUUAAAGCUCGGGGCUCAACCUCGGUUCGCAUUGGAAACUGCGUAACUUGAGUGCAGAAGAGGAAAGUGGUAUUCCACGUGUAGCGGUGAAAUGCGUAGAUAUGUGGAGGAACACCAGUGGCGAAGGCGACUUUCUGGUCUGUAACUGACGCUGAGGCGAGAAAGCGUGGGGAGCAAACAGG
rnacentral:rRNA from 1 species